AUAAUCUGAGAAAUUAACCCAAUCCUCUACCAACAUUUAUUCUGAUUCUUCGGUCACCCAGAAGUUUACAUCCUUAUUCUUCCAGGAUUUGGAUUAAUUUCUCAUAUUAUUAUACAAGAAAGAGGAAGAAAAGAAACUUUCGGAUCUAUUGGAAUAAUCUAUGCAAUAAUUGCAAUUGGAAUUUUAGGUUAUAUUGUUUGAGCUCACCAUAUAUUUACUGUAGGUAUAGAUAUUGAUACCCGAGCCUAUUUUACAUCAGCUACUAUAAUUAUUGCAGUCCCCACUGG